rnacentral:rRNA from 1 species
AGUGAACGCUGGCGGUAGGCCUAACACAUGCAAGUCGAACGGCAGCACAGUGAGAGCUUGCUCUUACGGGUGGCGAGUGGCGGACGGGUGAGGAAUACAUCGGAAUCUACUUUUUCGUGGGGGAUAACGUAGGGAAACUUACGCUAAUACCGCAUACGACCUACGGGUGAAAGCAGGGGAUCUUCGGACCUUGCGCGAUUGAAUGAGCCGAUGUCGGAUUAGCUAGUUGGCGGGGUAAAGGCCCACCAAGGCGACGAUCCGUAGCUGGUCUGAGAGGAUGAUCAGCCACACUGGAACUGAGACACGGUCCAGACUCCUACGGGAGGCAGCAGUGGGGAAUAUUGGACAAUGGGCGCAAGCCUGAUCCAGCCAUACCGCGUGGGUGAAGAAGGCCUUCGGGUUGUAAAGCCCUUUUGUUGGGAAAGAAAAGCAGCAGGUUAAUACCCCGCUGUUCUGACGGUACCCAAGGAAUAAGCACCGGCUAACUUCGUG